UGGAGGUGUUCACUAUUUCCUUCUCUAUUAUAAAAUAGACUAGAUACUGAUUUUCAUGGAGAUCUGGAUCUAAAGCAGUUAAAGAGCUCAGUAAAGCUCCAGGCGCGUUAUUCUCCAUAACAGGUAUCGUGUAGAAUGUCUGUGGGAACUGAGGGACAUUGUCGUUAAUGUCCAGUAGCUCUAAAGUUAUAGUUUCAUUAUCAGAUAACGGCGGGUUGCCCCUGUCAGUCACGGUAAUAGUGAUGUCAUAUUCUGGAACCUUUUCACGGUCUAACGGUUCUGAAACUAAUAAUUCAUAAUAAUUAUCAGACGAUUCUUUGAGCGCAAAAGGUAAAUCAUCAGAAAUAUGAACAUCUACCUGUCCAUUUUCUCCUGAGUCUUUAUCACUCACACUAACAACUGCGAUUACUGUAUUAACAGGUACAUCCUCUUUAACUGGACUCUGAAAUGAUUUAAUUGAAAUUUCUGGGUGAUUGUCA